rnacentral:tRNA from 1 species
GCAAUCAUAGUUUAACGGUAGAACGUCUGCCUGUGGCGCAGAAGGUCAUUGUUCGAUUCAAUGUGAUUGUACCA